rnacentral:misc_RNA from 1 species
UAGCGACGGUGAUCAGGAAGCUAGAGCCUAUGAACCAAGGGACGACGCGUUGCAAUGUUAGCAACAACUAGACACAGAUUCAAGCAUAUAAAAAGAAGUCUUGAAGAAAUUGUGGGCUGUCUCAGCGCUUUGGAAACCAACGCAGAUAGGGAUCAGGUCAAAAAUAAAAGGCCAAGAUGAUGUGCAACAUCACGAGGCAUACGUAAACCACUUCCAUGGACAGCUAGAAAAUGACCAAGGCUUAGAGACAACACAUGAGGCAUGCAUGGUGUGGAAGAAUUUGGGCUGGAAUAGUGAUAAAGAAUUAAGCUUAUUUGGAAUUAGAAAGACUAGGUCUAAAAGGGUCUAGCUUUGAGAAGAGUGUUAAGCUUGAUGAAUGGGCCUUAAAGAUAAAAAUCCAAGCCCAUUAGGCAUGUGUGGCAUGUGGCAUGGAAUCCUAAAGGGAUUUGGAGUUGUUUUAAGCCAUGUUUGUCUCUUUAAAAUUGAUAAUUAUCUAUUCAUAAAUUUUAGGCAUGAUUUAAGGAAUCUACCUAAAAUCAAGGUUUAAUUCAUGGAGUACCUAUCCUUUUCCAUCCAAAACCAAUUCAAGCUAGUAGAAGUCCAAGACUCCUACAACAAACAUGGGUGGCAUCCUUGUGAUUGGUGGGGAUAAUUUGACUUUUGCUACUCUUUAGGGAUGCGUCCCACAUCAGUUCUGCAGAGAGGUCUUGAGUGUUAUAUAUAUAUGGAUUUGCAAAUCUCUCCUUGUGAGCUGGCUUUUGAGGUGU